rnacentral:rRNA from 1 species
UACGUAGGGGGCAAGCGUUGUCCGGAUUUAUUGGGCGUAAAGAGCGUGUAGGCGGCUUUACAGGUCCGUUGUGAAAACUCGAGGCUCAACCUCGAGACGCCGGUGGAAACCGUAAGGCUAGAGUCCGGAAGAGGAGAGUGGAAUUCCUGGUGUAGCGGUGAAAUGCGCAGAUAUCAGGAAGAACACCCGUGGCGAAGGCGGCUCUCUGGGGACGGUACUGACGCUGAGACGCGAAAGCGUGGGGAGCGAACAGG